rnacentral:lncRNA from 1 species
GUUUGAUUACAUUUUCUUGUAGCUAUUAAUUAUAAAACCUGAACAACAACUGUAUAUACCUGUAUUCCUUGAAAGCAGUGGAGCGUGACUGAAAGCAGACAGAAACCUAAGGUUUGCUCCAAAGGCAAAGACACAAAGGGGGACUGUGACACAGGUGGCUAAAACUCUGAGAGAAACCUCACUGGUCUUACCACAAAGAGAGGGAAAAGGGCUUCUGCAGGUCAGAGAGUGUGGGGGAAUACCAGAGUGGAGAUGGUUAAAGAAGAUGUUCUACUAAUUUCUGUGUUUGAGGCCCCACAAAUAAUAGAUUCACUCUUGAGCUGCACAUGCAGAGGCCAAACCCAAGGUAGCAUAGAAAAAGCUUUGAGAACUACACUAUAUUUAAACCACUACAUAAAUUUCAGAAAAAUCCCUGAGUAGUACAAGUAUGGUACAGAUACAAGGCUGCAUAGCACAGACUUUGAUAAUUGAACUAUGAACUUAGAUUAAAACCACAGUCUUGGACUAUCUCCUAAGUGGUACAUGUGUGAAAGAAACCAAACAUAGCCUAGUAAAGUCUUUGAAAACUGAACGAGAUGUAGACUAUCACCCACAGAACGCAAGGCAGAACUCACAAACUAAACUUAACUAAGUUGAUUACCUGAUAAAACAAAUGAAAAAAAAAAUCAACAUUCUCCAGAGCCCAGAAUCUACACAGCAAAAUAUUCAAAAUGCCCUAGAUAAAAUCCAGCAUUAGUACUUAGAAAGAAAAAGGAAAAUGUCACCAAUUCUCAAGGGAAAUGACAAUCAACAAAUGUCAACUGCGAAAGCCCAGAUGUUUGAAGUGUCAGCCAAAGAGUUUAAAUCAACUAUUAUAACUCUGUUUCAUGAGGUAAAGGAAAACACGUUCGAAAUGAAUGGAAAGAUAGAUGUUCUCAGCAGAGAAAUUAGAAAAUAUUAAAAUAACCUAUUUGAAAUUUUAGAAAUAAAAAAUGCAAUUACCAAAAUAAAAAAUUAUCUGGGCGAUCUCAAUAGCAGAACAGAGAUGACAAAGGAGUCAGUGAACUUGAAGGGAGGCUAAUAGAAAUCAUCCAAUAUGAGAAACAGUAAGAAAAAUGGCUGGAACAAAUAGCCUUAUUGGAUAAUAGGAUAAGGUUUCACAUACAGAGCACUGUAGUUCCAAAAAGAGAAGAGAAAGAGAUUCGUGCAGAAAAAAAUUUUUUUGAAGAAAUAGCGCUCAGAAACUUCCAAAAUCUGAUAGACUACAUCAAUGUACAGAAUCAAUAUGCUCAGAAAACAUAAAACAGAAAGAUUAAAGAGAAUCAUGCCUAGACAUAUCAUAAUCAAACUGCU